UGCAAGUCGAACGAAGGCUUCGGCCUUAGUGGCGCACGGGUGCGUAACGCGUGGGAAUCUGCCCUUGGGUUCGGAAUAACAGUUGGAAACGACUGCUAAUACCGGAUGAUGUCGCGAGACCAAAGAUUUAUCGCCCAGGGAUGAGCCCGCGUCGGAUUAGGUAGUUGGUGGGGUAAAGGCCUACCAAGCCGACGAUCCGUAGCUGGUCUGAGAGGAUGAUCAGCCACACUGGGACUGAGACACGGCCCAGACUCCUACGGGAGGCAGCAGUGGGGAAUAUUGGACAAUGGGCGAAAGCCUGAUCCAGCAAUGCCGCGUGAGUGAUGAAGGCCUUAGGGUUGUAAAGCUCUUUUGCCCGGGAUGAUAAUGACAGUACCGGGAGAAUAAGCUCCGGCUAACUCCGUGCCAGCAGCCGCGGUAAUACGGAGGGAGCUAGCGUUGUUCGGAAUUACUGGGCGUAAAGCGCACGUAGGCGGCUUUGUAAGUCAGGGGUGAAAGCCUGGAGCUCAACUCCAGAACUGCCUUUGAGACUGCAUCGCUUGAAUCCGGGAGAGGUGAGUGGAAUUCCGAGUGUAGAGGUGAAAUUCGUAGAUAUUCGGAAGAACACCAGUGGCGAAGGCGGCUCACU
rnacentral:rRNA from 1 species